rnacentral:rRNA from 1 species
UACGGAGGAUGCGAGCGUUAUCCGGAUUUAUUGAGUUUAAAGGGUGCGUAGGCGGCCGAGUAAGUCAGCGGUGAAAUUUUGCAGCUUAACUGUAACAGUGCCGUUGAUACUGCAUGGCUAGGAUUUGGUUUGCUGUGGGUGGAAUGUGUGGUGUAGCGGUGAAAUGCUUAGAUAUCACACAGAAUAUCAAUUGCGAAGGCAGCUCACAAAGCCAAGAUUGACGCUGAGGCACGAAAGUAGUGGGGAGUCAAA